rnacentral:rRNA from 1 species
AGAGAGAGACAUGCGCGCAUAUCAAUAAGCGGAGGAAAAGAAACUAACAAGGAUUCCCCUAGUAACGGCGAGUGAAGCGGGAAGAGCUCAAAUUUGAAAUCUUAAAGGGUUUCCCUUUACGAAUUGUAGUUUAAAGAAGUGUUUUCUGUUGAGGUUUUGGUAAAAGUUCUUUGGAAUAGGACAUCAUAGAGGGUGAGAAUCCCGUAUUUGACCUUUACUUUCAACUUUGUGAUACACUUUCAAAGAGUCGGAUUGUUUGGGAAUGCAGUCCAAAAUGGGUGGUAAAUUUCAUCUAAAGCUAAAUAUUGGCGAGAGACCGAUAGCGAACAAGUACCGUGAGGGAAAGAUGAAAAGAACUUUGAAAAGAGAGUUAAACAGUACGUGAAAUUGUCAAAAGGGAAGCGUUUGACACCAGUGUUGUUUUUCUGAAAAUCAAUUAAAGAACUGUUUAUGCUAAGCUGUUUAGACUUUAUCAGCUAUCUGUUUAGUUUUGAGCUUUUCUUUAAUGCACUUUUCAGUUAACAAGUCAACAUCAAUUUCUUUUGCUGUAAAAAAGCUUGAGGAAGGUGGCUUGAGAUUCGUCUUAAGUGUUUAUAGCCUCUUGCCUAUGCAGUCGGAGAGAUUGAGGUCUGCAGCGUAGAUCCUUCGGGGCUAAACGCAUUUGUGCUAAGUUAUAGCAUUUUAUAGACAACUUGUUGACUAUGAUUUGUCUUGUAGCUUACUCGCUUAUGUUAUUUUACCUACGCUUAGGAUGUUGACGCAUGAGAUAUACGC